rnacentral:rRNA from 1 species
AGCGAACGCUGGCGGCAGGCUUAACACAUGCAAGUCGAGCGGGCAUAGCAAUAUGUCAGCGGCAGUCGGGUGAGUAACGCGUGGGAACGUACCUUUUGGUUCGGAACAACACAGGGAAACUUGUGCUAAUACCGGAUAAGCCCUUACGGGGAAAGAUUUAUCGCCGAAAGAUCGGCCCGCGUCUGAUUAGCUAGUUGGUGAGGUAAUGGCUCACCAAGGCGACGAUCAGUAGCUGGUCUGAGAGGAUGAUCAGCCACAUUGGGACUGAGACACGGCCCAAACUCCUACGGGAGGCAGCAGUGGGGAAUAUUGGACAAUGGGCGCAAGCCUGAUCCAGCCAUGCCGCGUGAGUGAUGAAGGCCCUAGGGUUGUAAAGCUCUUUUGUGCGGGAAGAUAAUGACGGUACCGCAAGAAUAAGCCCCGGCUAACUUCGUGCCAGCAGCCGCGGUAAUACGAAGGGGGCUAGCGUUGCUCGGAAUCACUGGGCGUAAAGGGUGCGUAGGCGGGUCUUUAAGUCAGGGGUGAAAUCCUGGAGCUCAACUCCAGAACUGCCUUUGAUACUGAAGAUCUUGAGUUCGGGAGAGGUGAGUGGAUCUGCGAGUGUAGAGGUGAAAUUCGUAGAUAUUCGCAAGAACACCAGUGGCGAAGGCGGCUCACUGGCCCGAUACUGACGCUGAGGCACGAAAGCGUGGGGAGCAAACAGG